GUGCUCGCCUCCGCAGCACGUAUACUAAAAUUGGAACAAUACAGAGAAGAUUUGCAUGGCCCCUGUGCCAGGAUGACACUCAGAUUCGUGAAGCAUUCCAUAUUUUU
ensembl:snRNA U6 U6 spliceosomal RNA